rnacentral:tRNA from 1 species
GGCACUGUGGCAGAGUGGUAAACGAGCAGCCCUGCCAAGGCUGUUCCCGCUGGAGCAAGAGUUCGAAUCUCUUUCGUGUCG